GGAAAUGUACAAUUUAGAAAGAAAAAAAAAGCUGUGAAUUAAAUUAAUAACAAAGCCAAAAUAUCUUCUUUAAUAAUAUAACUUCUUUUGUUUUUUUGCGAGUUACGAAAAAAGAUCACUUUUAAACGGCAUGUUUAUAACUGCACCACAGCUGUCUGCUUGAAUUUUGUAAAGGCGCUAUUAACGGACGCCUAAAGGUAGGUCCUACUCAGGAUAUAUAAACCGCCACACAGCGGGCGGAAAAGCCCUCAGUCUGUCGUGGUAGAAGCUGAUGCACUAUGUGUGGGUAAGUGUUUGGUUUCAUUGUUAAGCAUGUAACGUAUUUAUUGUUUUACCAGGAAUUUAUGUCGUAAUAAUCAUAGUCAUAAGACUACUAUAAGCUAAUGCGUCUUUUAUUCAAGUUGUGUAGUCAGCGCUACUAUCACCACGUGGCGCGCGUGGAUGUACCUCAUGUGAGCUCAUGGUGUGCUUGGUUAUUUGCAUGAAUAAGAUAUUUGGCUUUUGUUAACGUUAGCCUUACCUGUGGACAUCUGCUCCUUUUUUUUGUUUUAUUUAUUUUUUUCUCUUUUCUCAGAAGAUCGAGUAUGCCAGGACUCUUCCCUGCAACUCUUUGAGAGUCUGGAAUCUGGUGACAUUAUGUGAGUGUGGCUUGUGGAUGAGCUUCUGCGUGUCUACAAAUACUACUUGAUGUGUGAAAUGUAUUUAUUUUCUUGACUAUACAAAUGCUAGUAACGUUUGUAAUUUAUUUGUAGCUCUUGUGUACUUUUAUUUUGUAAGUUUGCUCCUUUUUACUAUUAAAUGAGACUUUGAAA